CGAGCGGAGCGAGAGAACGUUGCGUCAGCAACGGCCCGAAGGGCGAGCCACGUAGUGGCGAGUUAUCCUCUAUCACCGACCA
rnacentral:sRNA from 1 species